CUGGGACAGGGAUUUCUUGUGGGCCUUAGCUCUGCUGGGCUUGCUCUGAGCUCCCCUGUGAAGUCAUCCUGGGAACUGAGGGAGGGGCCCUGCAGGCUGGAUAUGGAGGCAGCUCUGCCAGAACUCCGCCCAGGAAGAGGUAAGGGGCAGGCAUUGAGUUCCAGCAUGUGUGCUAGAUGUGCCUCCGCGGCACACACAAAUAAUGAAUACAGC